CUGCCUUCUCUUUCAAGAGCAUACAGUUCCCAUCCAUAGCAAGAGCUUGGCAGUUACAAUUCCAUCCAACCGUCAGCCUCUCUGAGGCUCACCCCCAGCACAGUGACGACAAACAUCAGGCUGCAGCAUGUGGAGUCUGGGAGGAGACCUUUGUGGACGUCUAAGGAGACAAGAGGAACAGAGUGGGAUAUCUGCUUUCCUGGACCAGAAAUGGAUCACAUUGCUUCCUGUCAGAAUUGUAGGCCCAGGAAAGAAAUGUCACGAAGAAAAUAUUCUUUCUGUAGUGGAGAGCUCUGGGAAGAACAAUGGCUGCCAUGUGGGGAGACACUGAGUGUGACUGGGCUAUUGAAGACCAGCCAUGCUCAUUUGUGCCCCGACACUGUUUGCGAAUGAUCUCUUUAGUGCUUCAUUCCAUUCUAGGGUCUUCAGAAGACCAGGCUGACAGCC
rnacentral:lncRNA from 1 species